rnacentral:rRNA from 1 species
UACAUGGGGUGCAAACGUUGCUCGGAAUCAUUGGGCGUAAAGCGCGCGUAGGCGGUUACUUAAGUUGGAUGUGAAAGCCCUCGGCUUAACCGAGGAAGUGCAUCCAAAACUGAGUAGCUAGAGUACGAAAGAGGGUCGCGGAAUUCCCGGUGUAGAGGUGAAAUUCGUAGAUAUCGGGAGGAACACCGGUAGCGAAGGCGGCGACCUGGGUCGAGACUGACGCUGAGGCGCGAAAGCGUGGGGAGCAAACAGG